AACGAACGCUGGCGGCAGGCCUAACACAUGCAAGUCGAGCGAGGACUUCGGUCCUAGCGGCGGACGGGUGAGUAACGCGUGGGAACGUGCCCUUUUCUUCGGAAUAGCCCUGGGAAACUGGGAGUAAUACCGGAUGAGCCCUUUGGGGGAAAGAUUUAUCGGCGAAGGAUCGGCCCGCGUUGGAUUAGGUAGUUGGUGGGGUAAUGGCCUACCAAGCCGACGAUCCAUAGCUGGUUUGAGAGGAUGAUCAGCCACACUGGGACUGAGACACGGCCCAGACUCCUACGGGAGGCAGCAGUGGGGAAUAUUAGAAAAUGGGGGAAACCCUGAUGUAGCCAUGACGCGUGAGCGAUGAAGGCCUUAGGGUUGUAAAGCUCUUUCAGCUGGGAAGAUAAUGACGGUACCAGCAGAAGAAGCCCCGGCUAACUCCGUG
rnacentral:rRNA from 1 species